UACGAGUGCCUCAAGCGUUAUCCGGAAUCAUUGGGCGUAAAGCGCGUGUAGGCGGACUGGAAGGUCUGGUGUGAAAGCCCGGGGCUCAACCCCGGAGGGUCACUGGAAACCGACAGUCUCGAGUCCGGAAGAGGAGAGUGGAAUUCCUGGUGUAGCGGUGGAAUGCGCAGAUAUCAGGAGGAACACCUAUGGCGAAGGCAGCUCUCUGGUACGUGACUGACGCUGAGACGCGAAAGCGUGGGGAGCGAACAGG
rnacentral:rRNA from 1 species